CCUACGGGUGGCAGCAGUGAGGAAUAUUGGUCAAUGGACGCAAGUCUGAACCAGCCAUGCCGCGUGCAGGAUGACGGCUCUACGAGUUGUAAACUGCUUUUGCACGAGGGUAAACGCAGAUACGCGUAUCUGUCUGAAAGUAUCGUACGAAUAAGGAUCGGCUAACUCCGUGCCAGCAGCCGCGGUAAUACGGAGGAUUCAAGCGUUAUCCGGAUUUAUUGGGUUUAAAGGGGGCGUAGGCGGUCGGUUAAGUUAGAGGGUAAAUCCCGGGGCUCAACUUCGGAAUUGCCUUUGAUACUGGUCGGCUAGAGAGCAGUAGAGGUAGGCGGAAUGUGUGGUGUAGCGGUGAAAUGCUUAGAGAUCA
rnacentral:rRNA from 1 species